rnacentral:rRNA from 1 species
AUACGGAGGAUCCGAGCGUUAUCCGGAUUUAUUGGGUUUAAAGGGUGCGCAGGCGGCCAUUUAAGUCAGCGGUUAAAUCGUGGGGCUCAACCCCAUUCUGCCGUUGAUACUGGGUGGCUUGAUUGCGGUCGAGGUUGGCGGAAUUCGUUGUGUAGCGGUGAAAUGCAUAGAUAUGACGAAGAACACCGAUUGCGUAGGCAGCUGACCAGACCGCAAAUGACGCUCAUGCACGAAAGUGCGGGGAUCGAACAGGAUUAGAUACCCUGGUAGUCCGCACAGUAAACGAUGAAUACUUGUUUUCGGCGAUAUAAUGUCGGUGGCCAAGCGAAAGCGAUAAGUUAUCCACCUGGGGAGUACGUUCGCAAGAAUGAAACUCAAAGGAAUUGACGGGG